GCCUUACCAUGGCGUUACUCUACCACUGAGUUAAAAGGGCUUAUUUGAUUUAAUUCCCGAACAAGUCACUAU
rnacentral:tRNA from 1 species